rnacentral:rRNA from 1 species
AUUAGAGUUUGAUCAUGGCUCAGAUUGAACGCUGGCGGCAUGCCUAACACAUGCAAGUCGAACGGCAGCACGGGGGCAACCCUGGUGGCGAGUGGCGGACGGGUGAGGAAUACAUCGGAAUCUACCUUCUGGUGGGGGAUAACCAGCCGAAAGGCUGGCUAAUACCGCAUAAGACCGAGAGGUGAAAGCGGGGGACCGAAAGGCCUCGCGCGAGAAGAUGAGCCGAUGUCCGAUUAGCUAGUUGGCGGGGUAAGAGCCCACCAAGGCGACGAUCGGUAGCUGGUCUGAGAGGAUGAUCAGCCACACUGGGACUGAGACACGGCCCAGACUCCUACGGGAGGCAGCAGUGGGGAAUAUUGGACAAUGGGCGCAAGCCUGAUCCAGCAAUGCCGCGUGUGUGAAGAAGGCCUUCGGGUUGUAAAGCACUUUUAUCGGGAGCGAAAAGCGGCCGGCUAAUACCCGGUCGUGCUGACGGUACCCGAGGAAUAAGCACCGGCUAACUUCGUGCCAGCAGCCGCGGUAAUACGAAGGGUGCAAGCGUUAAUCGGAAUUACUGGGCGUAAAGCGUGCGUAGACGGCCUUUUAAGUCUGCUGUGAAAGCCCUGGGCUCAACCUGGGAACUGCAGUGGAUACUGUGAGGCUGGAGUGCGGUAG